rnacentral:misc_RNA from 1 species
GAGAAACCCUGGAAUCAAAAAUGGGCAAUCCUGAGCCAAAUCCUAUUUUAUGAGAACAAAAACAAACAAGGGGUCAGAACGGGAGAAAGAGGAUAGGUGCAGAGACUCAAUGGAAGCUGUUCUAACAAAUGGAGUUGACUGCCUUUUUGGGGGAAAGAAAGGAAUUCUUCUAUCGAAUAUCGAAAGGCCAUAAAGGAUGAAGGAGAAGCCUAUAUACACUAUGUAUACGUAAUGAAAAAAUACACUAUGUAUACGUAAUGAAAAAGGAUCUCAAAAAUGACGACCCGAAUACUUUUUGUUUUUCUUUUGAAGAACUAAUUAAUCGGACGAGAAUAAAGAUAGAGUCCCAUUCUACAUGCCAAUAUCAAUACUGGCAACAAUGAAAUUUAUAGUAAGAGGAAAAUCCGUCGACUUUAGAAAUCGUGAGGGUUCAAGUCCCUCUAUCCCCAAAUCCCCCAAAAAAGGCCCAUUUAACUCCCUAACGAUUUAUCCUAUGUUAGUGGUUCCAAAUUCGUUAUGUUUCUCAUUCAUCCUACUCUUUUCCAUUUACAAACGUAUCCGAGCAGAAUUUUUUCUCUUAUCACACACAAGUCGUGUGGUAUAUAGGAUACACGUACAAAUGAACACUUUUGAGCAAGGAAUCUCCAUGUGAAUGAUUCACAAUCCAUAUCAUUGCUCAUACUGAAACUGACAAAGUCUGCUUUUUGAAUAUUCAAGAAAUGCAAUUCCCCGUCCAAGACUUUUAAGACUGAAUUUCGUCUUUUUUAAUUGACAUAGACCCAAGCCAUCUAGUAAAAUGAAAAUGAUGCGUCGGUAAUGGUCGGGAUAGCUCA